rnacentral:rRNA from 1 species
GACGGAGGGUGCUAGCGUUGUUCGGAAUUACUGGGCGUAAAGGGCGCGUAGGCGGCCCGAGAAGUCGGAUGUGAAAGCCCGGGGCUCAACCUCGGAACGGCAUUCGAAACUUUUGGGCUCGAGAACGGAAGAGGAGAGUGGAAUACCCAGUGUAGAGGUGAAAUUCGUAGAUAUUGGGUGGAACACCGGUGGCGAAAGCG